GAACUCCGAAUAAACUUGGUGAUUAGGAAUAUACAGUAUACUGUGUAUUUGUUUUAGUAUAACUGAUAGUUAAUUCACCAGUGCUUCCGGAUACAUUAAAACGAGUGUCGGGAAAGGUCAGGAUCUUUACUUUCAACAAAUAUGGGUGCUCAGAGAAGGUUUAUGAGCCUGCAAGUUUUUGUAUGGAAUGAUGAGAUACUGGUUUUUGAGCUAAAAGUAAUGGGUAAGAGAGAGAGAUAGAGGAGUUUUAUGGGGAUAUUAGCUAUGAAAUUCCGGGAUCACCACCAUAUAAAUCCCAGUAGGAGGAUUUCCUAAGUAUGCUCUCACUGAUCAGUAGUCAAAGUCAAAGUUUCAAACGCGAUUGGAUAUCGUUGUAAUCUUGAUCAUAAAUGAUUUCACCUGGAUAUCUGCGUCUGCUCUAUAAUUUUCUUCGCGGGUUGUGCUAGGUAAACUCUCAAGUCUUUGGGCC
rnacentral:ncRNA from 1 species